GGACUACCGGGGUUUCUAAUCCCAUUUGCUCCCCUAGCUUUCGUUCCUCAGCGUCAGUUACAGCCCAGCGAGUCGCCUGCGCCACCGGUGUUCUUCCCAAUAUCUACGCAUUUCACCGCUACACUGGGAAUUCCACUCGCCUCUACUGCACUCCAGUCUGCCAGUAUCCAAUGCACUCCCAGGGUUGGGCCCUGAUCUUUAACAUCAGACUUAACAAACCGCCUACGAACUCUUUACGCCCAAUGAAUCCGGACAACGCUCGCAUCCUACGUCUUACCGCGGCUGCUGGCAC
rnacentral:rRNA from 1 species